AAAGGGAGACCUAAUUCGGGUAUGGGACGAAAAAAAAGUAGUCGCUACCAAGAAUCAAUCCCAAAAGGUCGGAGCGAGGCAUGAGGCUUUCAAACUAGGUUCUGGGUUCAUAAAAGACCUGAAUCAGGAACAAGGGCUAUUAGCUCAGGUGGUUAGAGCGCACCCCUGAUAAGGGUGAGGUCCCUGGUUCGAGUCCAGGAUGGCCCACCUGCACAGGUGGCAAAAACAAGAGAAGCGAGGAAUCAGCACCUUAUCUUAUAUACAUAUAUAAGAGAGAAUGCUGGCUCUGAGUACAGAGUCCAGAGGAACCUUGAAAACUGCAUAGAGCUAGGUGAAAAAGCCAAAAAAGAAGACCGCAAG
rnacentral:tRNA from 1 species